rnacentral:rRNA from 1 species
CGCCAGACUCCUACGGGAGGCAGCAGUGGGGAAUAUUGCACAAUGGGGGAAACCCUGAUGCAGCGACGCCGCGUGAGUGAAGAAGUAUUUCGGUAUGUAAAGCUCUAUCAGCAGGGAAGAAAAAAGACGGUACCUGACUAAGAAGCCCCGGCUAACUACGUGCCAGCAGCCGCGGGAAUACGUAGGGGGCAAGCGUUAUCCGGAUUUACUGGGUGUAAAGGGAGCGUAGACGGCUGUGCAAGUCUGAAGUGAAAGCCCAGGGCUCAACCCCGGGACUGCAUUUGAAACUGUCAGGCUGGAGUGCAGGAGAGGUAAGUGGAAUUCCUAGUGUAGCGGUGAAAUGCGUAGAUAUUAGGAGGAACACCAGUGGCGAAGGCGGCUUACUGGACUGUAACUGACGUUGAGGCUCGAAAGCGUGGGGAGCACACAGGAUUAGAUACCCUAGUA